rnacentral:rRNA from 1 species
GAUGAACGCUAGCUACAGGCUUAACACAUGCAAGUCGAGGGGAAACGAUAUUGGAAGCUUGCUUCCGAUAGGCGUCGACCGGCGCACGGGUGAGUAACGCGUAUCCAACCUGCCCAUCACUUGGGGAUAACCUUGCGAAAGUAAGACUAAUACCCAAUGACGUCUCUAGAAGACAUCUGAAAGAGAUUAAAGAUUUAUCGGUGAUGGAUGGGGAUGCGUCUGAUUAGCUUGUUGGCGGGGGUAACGGCCCACCAAGGCGACGAUCAGUAGGGGUUCUGAGAGGAAGGUCCCCCCACAUUGGAACUGAGACACGGUCCAAACUCCUACGGGAGGCAGCAGUGAGGAAUAUUGGUCAAUGGACGAGAGUCUGAACCAGCCAAGUAGCGUGCAGGAAGACGGCCCUAUGGGUUGUAAACUGCUUUUAUAAGGGAAUAAAGUGAGUCUCGUGAGGCUUUUUGCAUGUACCUUAUGAAUAAGGACCGGCUAAUUCCGUGCCAGCAGCCGACGG